UGGCGCGUAGCUCAGCUGGUUAGAGCACCACCUUGACAUGGUGGGGGUCGUUGGUUCGAGUCCAAUCGCGCCAACCA
rnacentral:tRNA from 1 species